ensembl:misc_RNA Y_RNA Y RNA
GGCUGGUCGGAAGGUAGUGAGUUAUCUCAGUUGACUGUUCACAGUCAGUUACAGAUUGAACUCCUUGUUCUACUACUUUCUUCCCUUCUUACUACUGCACUUGACUAGUCUAAA